UCGGCACAAUCUGUAAAGCUUGACCGG
rnacentral:sRNA from 1 species